rnacentral:tRNA from 1 species
GGAUAUAGCUCAGUUGGUAGAGUGCUUGCCUUGCAGGAACAAGGUCCUGGGUUCAAUCCCCAGCACCA